GAUGAACGCUGGCGGCGUGCCUAAUACAUGCAAGUAGAACGCUGAAGGAGGAGCUUGCUCUUCUGGAUGAGUUGCGAACGGGUGAGUAACGCGUAGGUAACCUGCCUGGUAGCGGGGGAUAACUAUUGGAAACGAUAGCUAAUACCGCAUGACAACAGUUAUUGCAUGAUAACUGUUUAAAAGGGGCAACUGCUCCACUACCAGAUGGACCUGCGUUGUAUUAGCUAGUUGGUGAGGUAACGGCUCACCAAGGCGACGAUACAUAGCCGACCUGAGAGGGUGAUCGGCCACACUGGGACUGAGACACGGCCCAGACUCCUACGGGAGGCAGCAGUAGGGAAUCUUCGGCAAUGGACGGAAGUCUGACCGAGCAACGCCGCGUGAGUGAAGAAGGUUUUCGGAUCGUAAAGCUCUGUUGUAAGAGAAGAACGAGUGUGAGAAUGGAAAGUUCACACUGUGACGGUAUCUUACCAGAAAGGGACGGCUAACUACGU
rnacentral:rRNA from 1 species